CUUUUCCAUGAAGUUCCCCAAUUGGGCAGUGCCCUGAAAUCACUUCUAACGCUGAUGCUAGGCACCACCUCACACCUACUGCUCAGACCCUCCAGGGACAGGGCCCAGGAUUGAAGAGGGAAGCCCUGCCCCGCACGUGUUCAUCAGGAAGGACCCACAGACUGCUGCUCCUGGAGGCCUCUCAGGGUUUAUGGAUGUGUGUUUGUUCCAUAAACCCUCAGAGGGUCACCUGGAGACCUGCUAAAAUGCAGGUUCUUGGGCCACAUCCUAGACCUUCUGACCGACCCAGGGAGUGGGGCCCAGAAAGCUGCAUUUGACAGAUAUCCCCGUGUGAUCAUCAUGCACACAGGAGUGAGCGAACCAGUGUUCUCCCUGGGCAGAAGGGAAGCUUGUGUGCAGGACACCUCAUGCCUCCUUUCCCAUUCCCCUGCCAGGCUCUCCCUGCUGACAUUGUUUCGUGGGAGAGCUGUGAAUUCUGAAGAUUAGGUUGCUUCUCACCCCAAGCUCCAGAAGUCCAGGCUGAGCCAAACCAAGCUUCAAGUUGUGCCUGGACUUGGAGAACCAGGAGGUGAGGGGACUGACUGCUUGAAGAUCACAUGGAGGAGGAGUCUGAUCCAGGCCCAGGCACCGAGGAAAGGCCUAGGGAGAAGGGCAUAGGCAGAUGGGCAGCUGUCUGUAAGCCAGAAAGAGCCUUCACUAGAAACCAAAUCAGCCAGAACCUUCAUCUUGGACUUUCCAGCCUUCAGAGAUGUGAAAAAAUAAAUUUCUGUUGAUUAAGCUA